rnacentral:misc_RNA from 1 species
GCUUUAUUUUGCCAAGCAUUUUUAUUUCAUUCUUUUCUUUGAGGAACAAGAAAAUGGUUAAAUACUAGUAUUUCACACUUUGGAGGCUCAACAUAUUGGUCUUAAAAUAUAGAUUACAAAAACUAAUCAAAAGCAUUUGAACAAUUUGUAAGAUAAAUGGUGAACUUUACUGUUAUUUUGAAAAAUCUCACAAAUGGUAGUGAAUUAUUCUUGUUCAUUAUUAUAAAUGUGCAAAUGAAUUUAUUACAAUAAUAAACAUUAAUGUAUGCAACAAUAAAAUGUGGAAUAAAU